CACUAGGCAAAAUGGCACCGUAACUUCGGGAGAAGGUGCGCCUCUUGGUGUGGUCACGUGCGUGACUGAGCAUCGAGGGGUCGCAGUAACCUGGCCGCUGCGACUGUUUAUCAAAAACACAGCACUCUGCAAACACGAAAGUGGACGUAUAGGGUGUGACGCCUGCCCGGUGCUGGAAGGUUAAUUGAUGGGGUCAGCCGCAAGGCGAAGCUCUUGAUCGAAGCCCCAGUAAAACGGCGGCCGUAACGAUAACGGUCCUAAGGUAGCGAAAUUCCUUGUCGGGUAAGUUCCGACCUGCACGAAUGGCGUAACGACAGCGGCGCUGUCUCCACCCGAGACUCAGUGAAAUUGAAAUCGCUGUGAAGAUGCAGCGUUCCCGCGGCAAGACGGAAAGACCCCGUGAACCUUUACUAUAGCUUUACACUGAACGUUGAGUUCUUCUGUGUAGGAUAGGUGGGAGGCUAUGAAACCAGGACGCUAGUUCUGGUGGAGCCAUCCUUGAAAUACCACCCUGAAGUGCUUGACGUUCUAACCUAGGUCCGUAAUCCGGAUCGGGGACCGUGUAUGGUGGGUAGUUUGACUGGGGCGGUCUCCUCCCAAAGAGUAACGGAGGAGCACGAAGGUACGCUCAGCGCGGUCGGACAUCGCGCACUGUGUGCAAAGGCAUAAGCGUGCUUGACUGCGAGAUCGACGGAUCAAGCAGGUACGAAAGUAGGUCUUAGUGAUCCGGUGGUUCUGUAUGGAAGGGCCAUCGCUCAACGGAUAAAAGGUACUCCGGGGAUAACAGGCUGAUACCGCCCAAGAGUUCAUAUCGACGGCGGUGUUUGGCACCUCGAUGUCGGCUCAUCACAUCCUGGGGCUGUAGCCGGUCCCAAGGGUAUGGCUGUUCGCCAUUUAAAGUGGUACGCGAGCUGGGUUCAGAACGUCGUGAGACAGUUCGGUCCCUAUCUGUCGUGGGCGUUGGAGAUUUGAGGGGGGCUGCUCCUAGUACGAGAGGACCGGAGUGGACGUUCCGCUGGUGUUCGGGUUGUCAUGCCCAUGGCAUUGCCCGGUAGCUACGAACGGAAGUGAUAACCGCUGAAAGCAUCUAAGCGGGAAGCACGCCCCAAGAUGAGAUCUCCCGAGAGCUUGACUCUCCUAAAGGCACCAUCAAGACUAGGUGGUUGAUAGGCACGGUGUGGAAGUGCAGCAAUGCAUUGAGCUUACGUGUACUAAUGAGCCGUGAGGCUUGACCG
rnacentral:rRNA from 1 species